UACGUAGGGUGCGAGCGUUAAUCGGAAUUACUGGGCGUAAAGCGUGCGCAGGCGGUUGUGCAAGACAGAGGUGAAAUCCCCGGGCUUAACCUGGGAACGGCCUUUGUGACUGCACGGCUAGAGUGUGUCAGAGGGGGGUAGAAUUCCACGUGUAGCAGUGAAAUGCGUAGAGAUGUGGAGGAAUACCGAUGGCGAAGGCAGCCCCCUGGGAUAACACUGACGCUCAUGCACGAAAGCGUGGGGAGCAAACAGG
rnacentral:rRNA from 1 species